rnacentral:rRNA from 1 species
GAUGAACGCUGGCGGCGUGCUUAACACAUGCAAGUCGAACGGUGAAGCAGGAGCUUGCUCUUGUGGAUCAGUGGCGAACGGGUGAGUAACACGUGAGCAACCUGCCCCUGACUCUGGGAUAAGCGCUGGAAACGGCGUCUAAUACUGGAUAUGUGAUGUGACCGCAUGGUCUGCAUCUGGAAAGAAUUUCGGUUGGGGAUGGGCUCGCGGCCUAUCAGCUUGUUGGUGAGGCAAUGGCUCACCAAGGCGUCGACGGGUAGCCGGCCUGAGAGGGUGACCGGCCACACUGGGACUGAGACACGGCCCAGACUCCUACGGGAGGCAGCAGUGGGGAAUAUUGCACAAUGGGCGGAAGGCUGAUGCAGCAACGCCGCGUGAGGGAUGACGGCCUUCGGGUUGUAAACUUCUUUUAGCAGGGAAGAAGCGAAAGUGACGGUACCUGCAGAAAAAGCACCGGCUAACUACGUGCCAGCAGCCGCCGUAA